ACUGGGUACACCCACCCAGUAUAUGUUCAAGACCCACAUAAACUGCGUUUCAACUUUACUCCAUAGAUAUCAUAAAUUAUAUUUGUUCAACUCAUGCUAUAGGCGAGAUGAAGACCGGUCUCCUCAUAUUACUCUAUAUCCCAAACCGAAUCUACAUGUGCAAAGAUGUACUAGCGCUCCAAGGGAAUUGAAUGUGUACUAAUGGAUUGACUUUUAAAACUUAGGUAUAAUAUUUUAAUAUAUUGUAAUGAUUUUUAAUUGUUUAAAUUAUUAUUGUAUAAUCGAAUAGUUGAACAUCAGAAAACCAAUUCGAUGGAACAUUUAUCAUUUUGAUUAUUUUUACGAUAGAUUGAAAUACUGCUGAUGCCGAAGGCUUCAAUAGUGAUAUCUAUAGAUAUUAGAUACAUGUAAUAAACAUAAUGUUUAUAUUUUAUAACUAGUAAAAUAUAAAACACAAAUUAUAUGUGUCACAAAAUGCCUUAACUAUUUAAGUUUUUGAUUAUUACCACCUACACUAUUACUGUUCCCUGCUUUGGAACAUUCAUUGUUAGUCUUAAAGUUAAACUUAUUUGCUGUGGUAAUUUCCUUAUUCUAGGAAUAGCAGAGAUUAUUUGAAAUGUUAGUGACCUACAUUAAUCAUUAAUAAUAAUUAUUAUUUCCU